GCGUCUGCGAUGCUGCGAUGCCCCGGGUU
rnacentral:sRNA from 1 species